AUGCAUGUCUUAGUACGGCUCUUAGUACGGUGAAACUGCGAAUGGCUCAUUAAAUCAGUUAUGGUUCCUUAGAUCGUAAAAUAUUGUACUUGGAUAACUGUAGCAAUUCUAGAGCUAAUACAUGCUAAAAUCCCUGUAUAUACGGGGUGCUUUUAUUAGAACAAAACCAAAGCUCGCCAUCCGGCGGGGUCUCUGGAUGACUCUGGAUAACUUUGCUGAUCGCAUGGACUUUGAUCCGGCGACGUAUCUUUCAAAUGUCUGCCCUAUCAACUUUAGAUGGUACGUGCUAUGCCUACCAUGGUUAUUACGGGUAACGGAGAAUCAGGGUUCGAUUCCGGAGAGGGAGCAUGAGAAACGGCUACCACA
rnacentral:rRNA from 1 species